rnacentral:rRNA from 1 species
GACGAACGCUGGCGGCGUGCUUAACACAUGCAAGUCGAACGGAAAGGCCCUGCUUUUGUGGGGUGCUCGAGUGGCGAACGGGUGAGUAACACGUGAGUAACCUGCCCUUGACUUUGGGAUAACUUCAGGAAACUGGGGCUAAUACCGGAUAGGAGCUCCUGCUGCAUGGUGGGGGUUGGAAAGUUUCGGCGGUUGGGGAUGGACUCGCGGCUUAUCAGCUUGUUGGUGGGGUAGUGGCUUACCAAGGCUUUGACGGGUAGCCGGCCUGAGAGGGUGACCGGCCACAUUGGGACUGAGAUACGGCCCAGACUCCUACGGGAGGCAGCAGUGGGGAAUAUUGCACAAUGGGCGGAAGCCUGAUGCAGAAACGCCGCGUGCGGGAUGACGGCCUUCGGGUUGUAAACCGCUUUCGCCUGUGAUGAAGCGUGAGUGACGGUAAUGGGUAAAGAAGCACCGGCUAACUACGUG